GUCACAAAGACAAGGGGAAAGGAGGUGGUGCAUCUGUGUGUAUAAAAUUCAAGAGGAAAUUUAGGGAAGAAGAGUCUACAAUCUGUGGUUUUGGGGAGUUCAUCUUUAACAUGAAAAUAAAGCUCUGUCCUAACAGUCUCUGCAGCAGUGGAUCUGCAAUCUAUCAAGGGCUGGUCUGUAAGGACAUGUAGAGAGGGCUAUCUUAGUCCUGCCACCCGUUCCAACCCUUUCUCUUAAUCAGGAUGGAGCACAAAGCUCAGAGAACCACGAGACUGGUUAUCUCCUAUCUCUACUGAUGAACAACUUCCAGGGUCUUCUUUUCCCUCAUCUGCCUGUCCAUCAGGGAUCAGGACUCUUACCCAGUUCCACAAGAAGCUCAUUAAUUGCCUCAAUGAUGUUGGACUGGAGUUGGGCAUAAGGGAAGCUGAAAUCCUCGCUCAGGCCUUCGGAUGUCAAGAGUUUGUGCAAGGACUCCUGCUGAUCGCUCUCAUCGCUACGCCCGUGGAGUCUAGGGAGGCAACAAGACGCAAACAGGGAGGGGGCGGAGGUGUAGUAAUUUAAGUAAGAGGAGCUGCUCAGCUCCACUAAAGGCUUCAAGCAGGGAGAGGGGCUUGUGCAAAAAGGCCCACAUCCUGACCUGCCAUACUCCUCCCGGAUGAUCCUGAGCACUCUCCGCACCAUGUUGCCCACUGUGGUCUCUGAGGGCUGCGCAGCCGUCAUCCUCUGGCCCUCUCGGCGGAUCAGUUCCAUCAGUUUCUCUGCAGUCGAGGGAGAGAGAGAGGGCACGAGCGCGAUGAGGCUGGGCGACUCUCCGCCUGAGGAUCGGGGUCGGACAGUGGCUAGGGACGCGACAGAACCAGACCUGCCUUACCUGCGUUGCUCCAGCGGUGGUCCGUAAUGAUCCGGCGCAGCAGCCCCAGGGUCUCCCGAGCCAUGUCCUCGGAGCUGCGCCGCCCGCCGUCCCGCUUCAGGGCCUCCACGAAACUCUCGAUGCUCUCGUACAACUCCGAGCCCUUAGCCGCGGCUCCUGGCAUCUCGAAAAAAGCCGCCUCGCCGGCGGAAUCCCCACCUGUACGACCUCAGUCCUUGCACUUCCGGGGCGGGUGAAGUCGACUUCCGCUCCGAGAGGAAAACUCCAGUUUGAGGGUCCACAGGCCACGCCCCCUCGGUGCCACAUCCCGCCUCCUCCAUCUGCCUGAGCCAAUCAGAGGCUAGGAGCUCGAGUUACUGAGUUACAGCAGAGCGACCACGAGUCUCGGAGGCGGGAGGACCGGAAGUGGCCUUUAGUGGCUCUUCAGGCGCUGCAUAGAGGCAUCAAGCCAUUACAAAAUAAGCAGGUGGGUGUGGCCACGUGACUACGUUCUUACUAUUGGGAUGGUGUGGAAGUGUUGUGUUGCUGCUUCUGAGAAACUUCCCUGGAAGAUAACUGGCAUGUGUCCUUUGGCCUCUUUAUCCCUUUCUCUUUCUGGCUGCCUUUCUGCUCUGCAGCCUGGAUGAUGAGGAUUCAGGCCACACUGCAGGGAUGGCAGAGUAGUGAGCUAGAAGGAGCCUGGGCACCCUAAGGCCUCUGUGGAGCAAAACUAUCAUACCAGCCUGGACUUUUCAACUUCAUGUAGCU